AUGUAUAUGGUAAAAAUCUCAGGUAUGGAGCUCUUCUGUAUGGUCUAGAAAUGCAGAGAUUUCCCUGCAGAAUGUGGAGAAGCCCAUGAUGGAGUAAGUACAAAUGGUCUGAAGGAACAGCCCACUCAGGAAAUGUGGCCACUGGAGAGGAGGUGUGGGAAGGACGUAGAGAAGUUGAAAAUGAAGUGAAGUUGAACCUGGGAAGAAGGUGGUGGAAAGAGUGACAAUGACAGACAUUAAAAUGUCUAAAUGUAUUCUAACUGGCAAUAAAUUAUAUUAAUUUUCC
rnacentral:lncRNA from 7 species